AGACCCGAAACCCGGUGAUCUAGCCAUGGGCAGGUUGAAGGUUGGGUAACACUAACUGGAGGACCGAACCGACUAAUGUUGAAAAAUUAGCGGAUGACCUGUGGCUGGGGGUGAAAGGCCAAUCAAACCGGGAGAUAGCUGGUUCUCCCCGAAAGCUAUUUAGGUAGCGCCUCGUGAAUUCAUCUCCGGGGGUAGAGCACUGUUUCGGCUAGGGGGCCAUCCCGGCUUACCAACCCGAUGCAAACUGCGAAUACCGGAGAAUGUUAUCACGGGAGACACACGGCGGGUGCUAACGUCCGUCGUGAAGAGGGAAACAACCCAGACCGCCAGCUAAGGUCCCAAAGUCAUGGUUAAGUGGGAAACGAUGUGGGAAGGCCCAGACAGCCAGGAUGUUGGCUUAGAAGCAGCCAUCAUUUAAAGAAAGCGUAAUAGCUCACUGGUCGAGUCGGCCUGCGCGGAAGAUGUAACGGGGCUAAACCAUGCACCGAAGCUGCGGCAGCGAACGUAUCACCCAAGACAACUUUACGGAGUUGACGAUUGACGGAGCGAAGCGACGUCAAAGCGUUCAUUAAAGUCGAGUUGGCUUAGGGAUACGUUCGUUGGGUAGGGGAGCGUUCUGUAAGCCUGCGAAGGUGGCCUGUGAGGGUUGCUGGAGGUAUCAGAAGUGCGAAUGCUGACAUAAGUAACGAUAAAGCGGGUGAAAAGCCCGCUCGCC
rnacentral:rRNA from 1 species